rnacentral:rRNA from 1 species
AAUCAACGCUGGCGGCGUGCCUCAGACAUGCAAGUCGAACGAGAAAGUCCCCGCAAGGGGGAUGAGUAAAGUGGCGCACGGGUGAGUAACACGUAGGUAAUCUACCUUCGGGUGGGGAAUAACCCAGGGAAACUUGGGCUAACACCGCAUAAUGCAGCGGCACCACAUGGUGACAGUUGUUAAAGCGGGGGAUUUUAGGACCUCGCGCCUGAAGAGGAGCCUGCGGCGGAUUAGCUAGUUGGAGGGUAACGGCUUACCAAGGCGACGAUCCGUAACCGGCCUGAGAGGGCGGUCGGUCACACUGACACUGACAUACGGGUCAGACUCCUACGGGAGGC